UGUCGGUAGCUUCAUUUCCUUUUCCUUUCCCCAUUAUCUCUGGUAGGGGGAGAGCGUGUUUCCGUGGAGGUGGUGGUGGGAUCUACUGGCGGAGGGCCUGGUUCUCCCGCGGGCGAAGGUGAAAUCGGUGAAGUCCAUUGGAAUGAGGAACCAGUAGGAGUCCGCUGCUCUUCGUCCCUGUGUUUUUGCCGCAGUCUGGAAGUGAUAACUAAGAAGUAUGGGUUGUCGUGGAUGCCGAGGAGCUGGGUUCCUCCAUGGCGGAGCUAACAGGAAGCGACCACUGUUUCGAGGUGGCUGCACGAGGCAGCGUCGCCGGCCUGACGGGUUGUUAGGCAGUGCGAGGGAGAAAGCGAAUUCAUUGAUUUGCGAGGUGAUUAUCGGCUGCGUUCCUCCUCUUGUAGGCAUUUGUAAAUUUGCUGGUCUGCUGGUGCCUGGUGGUUGUACAAUCGCCUGUGAAAGGAUCUAGGAUGGAACAAAUUGGUUCAGUAUUGAAGGAUGUGGGGUUAUUGGGCUCUGGUGCAGCAUAUUGUUUCGUUCUCACUGAGGCAGUGGAUGAUGAAGUAGAGGGGUUACGCGGUUGUUUUGUUGAGAUCUAGACAAACAGGAGAGUUUUGAUUUAUCAAGAAAGAGAGAGAUAGUGAAAAGGAGUGUAUGAGUGUGGUGGCCGUCGUUGGUUCUAGGUGGCUUUGCGUGAGGAGGAAGAAAAGAGAGAUGCUGAGGUGGAGGCACUUGAUAGAACAAGCCAACCUCGAGUGCAUACGCUAGAUAGACCGUCGAGAGAGCCACCCACGGGGCAUCAGCCACCCACGGGGCAUCAACUGAUAUGGAGUACGAUGGAGGUUCUUGAAGGUUGCGGAUGCAACAAUAUCGAAUCUGUAUUGUCGUCGGAUGACCGAUCUCUGUUUGGCCAUAGGCAACUUUUGGUACCAACUACAAGUGUUUAGAUCAUCUCUCCGUGUUUAUGUGCAUUUAGGCACCUUUCAUAUCUGCUUGACGCUUUGUCGUCGACACAUGUUGUACUCUUGAGCUAUAAUGUUAAUAUACUUUAAUGUUCAAAAAAAUAAAUAGAAAUCCCAGUUUUCU